UUGUUAAUGAUCUUCUUCAUUAUCACAGGAAUGCUUUAUUAACAAUAUUAGAGAGAUGACAAUUAAAGGUGGACAUCAAGUUCACAAGGUUCAUCAUCAAAGAUUACUUGAAAGUUGUGUCUUGUAAAAUUAACUGCUCAUUUUUCUUUCAGAGUAAUGCUAGAAUAAUUACCAAUGGAUGACAUAUAUUUAAAUUUCGGUAAG
rnacentral:misc_RNA from 1 species